GACGAACGCUGGCGGCGUGCUUAACACAUGCAAGUCGAACGGAAAGGCCCUGCUUUUGUGGGGUGCUCGAGUGGCGAACGGGUGAGUAACACGUGAGUAACCUGCCCUUGACUUUGGGAUAACUUCAGGAAACUGGGGCUAAUACCGGAUAGGAGCUCCUGCUGCAUGGUGGGGGUUGGAAAGUUUCGGCGGUUGGGGAUGGACUCGCGGCUUAUCAGCUUGUUGGUGGGGUAGUGGCUUACCAAGGCUUUGACGGGUAGCCGGCCUGAGAGGGUGACCGGCCACAUUGGGACUGAGAUACGGCCCAGACUCCUACGGGAGGCAGCAGUGGGGAAUAUUGCACAAGGGGCGGAAGCCUGAUGCAGCAACGCCGCGUGUGGGAUGACGGCCUUCGGGUUGGAAACCUCUUUCGCCUGUGACGAAGCGUGAGUGACGGUAAUGGGUAAAGAAGCACCGGCUAACUACGU
rnacentral:rRNA from 1 species